UAAAGUGUUGAGUGAUGGAAUCGAAUUCAAGUUUUAUCCAAGAAGCACUGCACAGAUAAACACUUGCAAUGGAAAUCAGAACAAGAAUUUCAAAGAAGUCCUCAAGAGUGACUGCCAUUUGACAACCAGACAUGAACCAUCUGGCGAUUUUCUCUAAUUGUUAAUCAACAGCAAGUGUGAAAGGAAUUACAAAUUUACAACAAACGACUUUUGCAUCAUCAAAUCAGAGAUUUUGUAUCUGGUGUGAGUGAGACGAAAGACAAGCCCAAUAGAAGAGGCGCUAUGAGGUUACAUCAGCCAAUGUCAAUUCAAAGGUAAUUUUGCAAGAGGGAAAAUUCUGAAGUUAUGAGUAGGAUUGUUACCGUCAGCUGUUGCCAUAAAUAGAUAAACUUGUUAUCCUAAUUUUAUCUUGUUUUAAAUUCUGUCAAAUCUAACUUAUUCAGACCAAGUUUUUAGAAAUAUAUGAGUAGUG